rnacentral:rRNA from 1 species
GAUGAACGCUGGCGGCGUGCCUAAUACAUGCAAGUCGAGCGAACAGACGAGGAGCUUGCUCCGCUGACGUUAGCGGCGGACGGGUGAGUAACACGUGGAUAACCUACCUAUAUGUCUGGGAUAACUUCGGGAAACCGGAGCUAAUAACGGAUAAUAUCUUGAACCGCAUGGUUCAAUAGUGAAAGACGGUUUUGCUGUCACUUAUAGAUGGAUCCGCGCCGCAUUAGCUAGUUGGUACGGUAACGGGUUACCAAGGCAACGAUGCGUAGGCGACCUGAGAGAGUGAUCGGCCACACUAGAACGUGGACACGGUCCAGACUCCUACGGGAGGCAGCAGUAGGGAAUCUGCCGCAAUGGUCGAAAGCUUGACGGAGCAACGCCGCGUGAGUGAUGAAGGUCUUCGGAUCGUGAAGAUCUGUUAUUAGGGAAGAACAAAUGUGUAAGUAACUGUGCACGUCGUGACGGUACCUAAUCAGAAAGCCACGGCUAACUACGUG